GGCUUCAUGGUGUAGGGGUCAACACGCUCGACGCGUAUUCGAGAGGUCCGUGGUUCGAGUCUCGGAGAGGCCA
rnacentral:tRNA from 1 species